AAAGAAAGUGAAAUCCAGAUCAGAACAUCAAUUUCCACAGUUUUUGAUUCAGACAGCAUCUGGCAUCCUUGUGACCCGUCAGAACCGCCUGCAAGUGGACUGAUGGCACGUGACUGCAUCCUCCAUUUGUCAACAGAACAAAGGGGAGACAACUCCAUGGGACUACACACGAUAUUCCCUGAAGUCUCAGUCUCCCGCCUGUAUGGACCAAUCUACAUAGAAAUAAAACUUGAUUAGAGCAGAUUUAAAUUCAAUGCAAAAAGAAGACACUAGAACCACUUCUGAGAACACAGAAUAAAAGAUUUAAUAAG
rnacentral:sRNA from 1 species